rnacentral:rRNA from 1 species
UAGGGAAUCUUCGGCAAUGGACGAAAGUCUGACCGAGCAACGCCGCGUGAGUGAAGAAGGUUUUCGGAUCGUAAAACUCUGUUGUUAGAGAAGAACAAGGACGUUAGUAACUGAACGUCCCCUGACGGUAUCUAACCAGAAAGCCACGGCUAACUACGUGCCAGCAGCCGCGGUAAUACGUAGGUGGCAAGCGUUGUCCGGAUUUAUUGGGCGUAAAGCGAGCGCAGGCGGUUUCUUAAGUCUGAUGUGAAAGCCCCCGGCUCAACCGGGGAGGGUCAUUGGAAACUGGGAGACUGGAGUGCAGAAGAGGAGAGUGGAAUUCCAUGUGUAGCGGUGAAAGGCGUAGAUAUAUGGAGGAACACCAGUGGCGAAGGCGGCUCUCGGGUCUGUAACUGACGCGGAGGCUCGAAAGCGUGGGGGGCAAACAGG